UGCCGCGUGCGGGAAGAAGGCCUUCGGGUUGUAAACCGCUUUUGUCAGGGAAGAAAUCCUUUGAGUUAAUACCUCGGGGGGAUGACGGUACCUGAAGAAUAAGCACCGGCUAACUACGUGCCAGCAGCCGCGGUAAUACGUAGGGUGCAAGCGUUAAUCGGAAUUACUGGGCGUAAAGCGUGCGCAGGCGGUUAUAUAAGACAGAGGUGAAAUCCCCGGGCUCAACCUGGGAACUGCCUUUGUGACUGUAUAACUGGAGUGCGGCGGAGGGGGAUGGAAUUCCGCGUGUAGCAGUGAAAUGCGUAUAUAUGCGGAGGAACACCGAUGGCGAAGGCAAUCCCCUGGGCCUGCACUGACGCUCAUGCACGAAAGCGUGGGGAGCAAACAGGAUUACAUACCCUGGUAGUCCACGCCCUAAACGAUGUCCACUGGUUGUUGGGAAGGUUCCUUCUCAGUAACGUACCUGACGCGUGAAGUUGACCGCCUGGGGAGUACGGCCGCAAGGUUGAAACUCACAGGAAUUGACGGGGACCCGCACAAUCGGUGGAUGAUGUGGUUUAAUUCCAUGCAACGCGAAGAACCUUACCUACCCUUGACAUGUCUGGAAUCCUGAA
rnacentral:rRNA from 1 species